rnacentral:lncRNA from 1 species
GGGACAUGGAUUUGGGGCUCUGCAAAGAGGGGAGCUGAAUGUGAGACUGUUGAAUAAAGUGAGGUCUCUCAAAGGGAACAGAAGCAGAAAGGUUUCCCACUAGCACAGAUGAGUCUGGGCUCUCGAAGUCAGCCAGAAAAGCUCCUAUGAAACCCAAGAGAGCUCCUACACAGAGAAGGAGAAGCAAGCACUUAAGGAUUCCAAAAGCACUUGGCCGCAUUAAACAAGAGUCAGGAAGGAAAACAAUAGCAAGGAGCUGCUUGAGGACACAAAGCUGGAAAAAUGAAGAGGGAGCAGCCAGAGAUGUCGACUGAGCUCUGAAAAUAGAUGUGGCUUAAUGAACAUGAGAGGGGUUAGGUUUAU